UUAUUUUUUGUCAUGUUCAUUUCGUCUCCGUCUGAUUUUCGUUUUAAAAAUAUAUAUAAACAUAUACACAUGUUUAUAAAUAUAAUGUAGUGCAACACAUAUAUGUAUAAUAUAGCUAAAUACCAAGUGCAAUCCCCCGAAAGAUAACUUCAAAUGGCAAUCUAAUUUACGUAAAGAAAAGAGACAAAAAAGAAACGGCGCGUGUGAAAUUUUUUCAAGCAAGGAGAGAAGUUGGAGCAACAAAAAAAGAAGAGAGAAAAAAUACAACAACAACACACAAAUCUCAAGUGGUUGUUUAGCAAUGAAAAUGUUUAGCCGAAAAACGAAAAGCAACAAAAACAGCGGCUUUAAGGCUGCUGGACAGGUUUCCCACGGCUAAAAAAAAAUGUAAAAUACAA